UCAGUCGCGUGCUCUAGACCCGAAGCGGAGUGAUCUAGCCAUGGGCAGGUUGAAGCGCGGGUAAGACCGCGUGGAGGACCGAACCCACCUGGGUUGAAAACCGGGGGGAUGACCUGUGGUUAGGGGUGAAAGGCCAAUCAAACUUCGUGAUAGCUGGUUCUCCCCGAAAUGCAUUUAGGUGCAGCGUCACGUGUUUCUUGCCGGAGGUAGAGCUACUGGAUGGCCGAUGGGCCCUACAAGGUUACUGACGUUAGCCAAACUCCGAAUGCCGGUA
rnacentral:rRNA from 1 species